rnacentral:tRNA from 6 species
GGGGCUAUAGCUCAGUUGGUAGAGCGCUUGAAUGGCAUUCAAGAGGUCAGGAGUUCGACUCUCCUUAGCUCCACCA